rnacentral:misc_RNA from 1 species
GGAAAAUAAAUAAAAGAACCAACGUGUCCAAAUGUCGUAAACAAAUAUGAAAUGUUAAUAAAACUCAUCAACUACAAACUACCAGCAGAGCUCUGCAGAAGGGUGCAGAUAUAUACACAAUUCAAGCAGACGUGAUGCGACAUAACCCGGGAACCCAUGAAGUACCAAGAGAAUUAGUCUACCUGAUUGUGACAAACUUAUUAGUACCAUGUCUCGCCCAGUGAGUCCUCAAAUCAAUCGGGUUAGCAAAAUUAUAGCCAUCAGCUGCUAGUUUCUCAAGUACCUUCUUGAACGCAC